rnacentral:SRP_RNA from 12 species
ACAGAGCAAGGGUCAGCACUCGCACAGGCCAGCAGGAAGAUCACAAUGUCCAGGU